UCAAGUCAACUGAAGAGCUUGAUCAUCACAUAGAAAAUGAAGAGAGAAUCAAAGUUUCUCAUGAGCACGAAGAAGCAGGUCAAAUACCGAAGCCCUAUGAAAAGGAAGAAUGUGAAAGCGUAGCUUUUCAACAGAGUUUCUCACUAGAUCCUGAGUCCCUCACCUGAGUCAUCGAUCCUUGCCUCUUCACUCAUCACUUGGGCACCAAGUUUUUUCAGCUAGGCCUCUCAGCAACUUAAGUUUACUCACACCUCUCUUACUUAUCAUGCGAGGCGUUGCCUUUAGCGUUAUGGGUUUUUAGCGUGUUUAUGUGGAGUUUAUAGAGCUGUUAAUUUGGUCAAAGUCUUGACUAUGGCAUGUAGGAUCGUAGCUAAAGCUUUUCAUUUGCAGCUAGAAUGUCAUUGUGCAAUGCAGAGGAAAAUACCAUCAUCAUUGUGCAUUGAUUGCUAAUUUUAUUUUGGACACUUGUUAUGCAAGCAAA
rnacentral:misc_RNA from 1 species